UACUGAGCGGCGGACGGGUGAGUAACGCGUGGGUAACCUGCCUCAUACAGGGGGAUAACAGUUAGAAAUGACUGCUAAUACCGCAUAAGACCACGGCACCGCAUGGUGCGGGGGUAAAAACUCCGGUGGUAUGAGAUGGACCCGCGUCUGAUUAGGUAGUUGGUGGGGUAACGGCCUACCAAGCCGACGAUCAGUAGCCGACCUGAGAGGGUGACCGGCCACAUUGGGACUGAGACACGGCCCAA
rnacentral:rRNA from 1 species